CAUUUGAUAGCUCAGUUGGUAGAGAGCAGGACUGUAGGUGCUUAUAGUGAGCAUUCUCAGAUCGCUGGUUCGACUCCAGCUUGAAGGA